rnacentral:rRNA from 1 species
GACGUAGGGCGCGAGCGUUGUCCGGAUUUAUUGGGCGUAAAGAGCUCGUAGGCGGUUUGUCGCGUCGUCCGUGAAAACUCACAGCUUAACUGUGAGCUUGCGGUCGAUACGGGCAGGCUAGAGUCCGGAAGAGGAGUGUGGAAUUCCCGGUGUAGCGGUGAAAUGCGCAGAUAUCGGGAAGAACACCCGUGGCGAAGGCGGCACUCUGGGACGGUACUGACGCUGAGACGCGAAAGCGUGGGGAGCGAACAGG